UAAAGCGCGGAGCACCAGGGAUCGCGAGUAACACGGAACGGAAGAACAAGGCGUGAAACGGGUUCUCUCCAGAAAGAACACAGCCCUGCUGACCCCCUGAUUUCAGACUCUGGCCUCCAGAGCGGUGAGACGGUGAAUUUCUGCUGCGUCAAGCUCCCAGCUUGCGGCACUUUGCUGCGCUGCGCCAGCCCCAGGAAAUGAACAGCCUUCCACGUGCCUGGCUGGGGGUGGAUGUUGAUCUGAGCCGGGUUUAAUUCCCUGAAAUUCUAACCUUAUAAAACUAUAGCAAGCUACCUCUAAACACGAGGGGAUCACAAUCAUUUGUGUUCAGACUACACUGAGCAAUAGUUGCUGCUGAAGACAUGCACACGGUCAGGAUCUCUGCAGUGCUGGCCCCACCUGGGCUGCGCAGAGUGGGGAUUUUCCUCUGGUGGCUGACAGCGGGCUCCUGAAGCCUGGAACUGCCAGGUCAUCUGCCGGCUUCUGUUUCCGUGUGGAGAACGUUCAUUUAAUCUGCAGAUGCCUGAUCUUACACAGAAACUUCCAGACACCUGACACCUCUCUUCCCUCCUCCUCUGCCUUUUGCCAGCUCCAGAAACUCUGCCUCUCUAUCCCCUCCCCUCUCUCCAGUGAAGAGUACGCGAAAGGCAGAGUAUUGGGCUUUGAAAUAUUCUUGCUACAUUAGUAUAACCCCUGUUUAAAUCCAUGGCAUGUCAACUCCGAAUACUGGGGCUUAGGAAAUGCUCAAUCAUCCUCUUGAUUGAGUGCCUACUAUCCAAGGCAGAUGCCAGCCCCUUCCGCAAAGGGCUUCCCUGGACAUCAAAAUGCUUGUAUUUAAAGACAAAGCCACUAGGUGGAGCUCCGUUUAAGGUUGGACCCAAGGUCCUUAUACUUCCCUUUGAGUAUCAGGUAAUCACAAUCCCAGAACGAGGUGAGAAGCUCCAGGACAGACUGAGAAAACGGGUCCUUAUCCUUAAUGUUCGUCUUAAUCUUCAGAUUAGACAGAGCCUCCAGCCGCUUCCGUCGUUAAUAGUCUCAUCUGUGAUCAAGUACCCUCUACUCCCUCUUCAAGCUCACCCUAUCAGAUGCAUCAUAAUGAUGGUGGAAUGUGAUGGACAUUAUUAUCCAAAGUACAUGUAUGAAGACAUCAAUUGGUGUGACUCUGCUUUGUGUACAACCAGAGAUAUGAAAAAUUGUACUGUAUGUGCAUAAUAUGAAUUGUAAUGCAUUCCGCUGUC
rnacentral:lncRNA from 1 species